AAGCGCCACAGGUGAAAAUUUAACGACGCAGAUAAGAAAGAGAUCAAAUGCUCUAUUCAAUAUAUUCUUUUGUAGUUUUGAUUUCUUUAGAAAGUCUCUUAGAUUGGAUGAAGUGGGUGGAAUUUUGGGGAAUGCAGCGUUGGUUGCAAUCAGCAUGCUUGCACUGAUGCAUCUGCAGCAAGUUGGUAGCAAGGAAAAAUACCUUUUGGACCUCCCGUUAGGAGAAGACGUUGACUACAGCAGAAAUAUUAGAAAAAUCUCUCAGCCUGAGGGGUCAUCAUCCAGCCUAAAUUUGGAUGUGUUGUCAGCCAGGGGCUGACACAUAAAAUGGUGAGGAUUGGGAGAAAGAGGAUAUUAUGUUGUGUCCAGCCAAAUUUUACUGAGGUGGGAGAACCAAGUUUCUUAUAGUAGACGGUAGUAAAGAAGGGAACCAUAUUUUUGCUAUCUAUAAAUGUUGUAAAGAGCUACAUCUCCCUUUCUUUGGAACAUGCGACAGAUUUUAUACUAUAGUCUAUGUGCAUGUGUCAGUGUGAAGUUCAA
rnacentral:misc_RNA from 1 species